rnacentral:rRNA from 1 species
GACGAACGCUGGCGGCGUGCCUAAUACAUGCAAGUUGAGCGAUGAAGAUUGGUGCUUGCACCAAUUUGAAGAGCAGCGAACGGGUGAGUAACGCGUGGGGAAUCUGCCUUUGAGCGGGGGACAACAUUUGGAAACGAAUGCUAAUACCGCAUAACAACUUUAAACAUAAGUUUUAAGUUUGAAAGAUGCAAUUGCAUCACUCAAAGAUGAUCCCGCGUUGUAUUAGCUAGUUGGUGAGGUAAAGGCUCACCAAGGCGAUGAUACAUAGCCGACCUGAGAGGGUUAUCGGCCACAUUGGGACUGAGACACGGCCCAAACUCCUACGGGAGGCAGCAGUAGGGAAUCUUCGGCAAUGGACGAAAGUCUGACCGAGCAACGCCGCGUGAGUGAAGAAGGUUUUCGGAUCGUAAAACUCUGUUGGUAGAGAAGAACGUUGGUGAGAGUGGAAAGCCCAUCAAGUGACGGUAACUACCCAGAAAGGGACGGCUAACUACGUG